GGAAUUGUUCGCAAUGGGCGCAAGCCUGACGACGCAACGCCGCGUGGAGGAUGAAGAUUUUCGGAUCGUAAACUCCUUUCGACCGGGACGAAUGGCCGGUGGUCUAAUACGCCAUCAGAUUGACGGUACCGGACGAAGAAGCCCCGGCUAACUCCGUGCCAGCAGCCGCGGUAAUACGGGGGGGGCAAGCGUUGUUCGGAAUUACUGGGCGUAAAGGGCGCGUAGGCGGCCUGCUAAGUCACACGUGAAAUCCCUCGGCUCAACCGGGGAACUGCGUGUGAUACUGGCGGGCUUGAAUUCGGGAGAGGGAUGUGGAAUUCCAGGUGUAGCGGUGAAAUGAGUAGAUAUCUGGAGGAACACCGGUGGCGAAGGCGGCAUCCUGGACCGAGAUUGACGCUGAGGCGCGAAAGCUAGGGUAGCAAA
rnacentral:rRNA from 1 species